CUCCCUCUCUCGCCGUCGCCGAUUGAGCCGUCGACGAACGCAGGGUCUAGGUCGACGGGCGACGACGUCUUCAUCGAGCGGUCCUUCAGGUCCUUCUUCUCCUCCGCGCAGGUCCUCCUCCUCCUCCGUUGAAGAACAUGACGUGGACAGAGGUGGAUUUCUUCCUUAAGUGGAAGACCUAGCCUUGCCGCCGCACCGGGAAGAUCGACCCCGUCGCGAACAAUACGACGAGCAGGAGAAGGACCUAGAGGAAUGUGCGGAUCAGGGAGGAUCACCGCCGUCUCCAGUUUGACUUCAUUGGUCGACGACCACUUGCCUGAUCCAUCCUGACUCAUGCUGAAGUUUCAGCUGAUGCCUUCGGGAUGGUUGUGAUGCAAGAUGGAGUGAUAUCUAACUAUGGGUAUACUCAAUUUUACUCACAUAUCUCUGAUUUGGGUCAUUGGCUAUUUCUCUUGCUGCUCAAUGUUCAUAUAUGCACUUGGGUAAUCUCAUAUAUGUUAACUUGUGGACCAGAGAUCUAUAUGCUUAGAAGUGAAUCUCAUAUAUGUUAACUUGGGUAAUCUCAUAGAAGAGGCUUCAGAAGGUAGGAAAGACAGAACAAGCUAGGAAAGACUCAAGUGAGGGUUUAGAAGUGAAUCUCUAUGCUUUGUUUCAUGCACAUGAAACUUGCUGCAUUUGAUCUUGUGCGCAUGGAAAUCUCUAUGCUUUGUCUUGUGCAAGUCCAUAUGGUUUAAUCAUGUUUAUGUUUAAAUAUAUUGCUGCAUUUGAUCACGUUACACUAUUUUCCCUGCCUUAGUCGCAAGGUACCACGGAAACAGAACAUAUGUGUUUACUCUGAUCUCUGUUCAUCCGUGUACUAUAUAAUCUUUCCUAGAUUUGUACAUUAAAGGUAUUUUUUCGUACUAGAUGUGUAACCAACUUUGCUAUGCUCUGCUCAUCCAUUAAAUUGUACUGCAUAGGUUAUUAUAUAUUUGUAGAAUUUUAUCUGUGAUCACUGUUCUGCAUCUUUGUUCAGCAUGAAAGUGUUACUUUUUAUUACUGGCAACAAUCAUGUAUUAUCAACUAUCCCCUUUUUGCGAUUGCAGAUCACCUUGCUUCGAUCUGGUAUCAGAGAGAGGAAGCUUCAAAGAACCACGAAGAGGAAAAUUUUGUUAUGCGCCUCAUUGUUACCGCUAAUAACAUCUUUGGCUUUCCUCUGAUAUUAAAAUACAAUAGUAUUCUCUAGGUUUCCUUGUUCGUUGAUUACACAAUAUUCCUGAUUUGCGACGAUGUUUUCAGUACAAUAGGUCGAUUAGCUGUUGUAGGGUGCAUCCUGUAGUUGUAAGGUCUGGGAUUUCUUCCAUUAGUUGUUUUAUUAUGAUUAAUGGUUAUUGGACUGAGUUGGGCAAUUAGUCAAUGACAGAGGUCAUGACAUGUUUCUGCGCACAACGAGUGUACUUACAUUUGUAUCUGCGACCGAGAUAAUCAUGUACAGCUCGACCCAUUACAACAGACAUCGAAAAACAAAAGAGAUGGUUGAUAGUGAAAGGAGCCACAAAGAGUUGUACAUUUUCUUCAUUUGAGGAUUAGUUCCUAAAGCUUCUUCCUCAUUCAUUUUUAUUUAUUUAUUAUGCCUUGUUGUUC